rnacentral:tRNA from 1 species
GGGCAUAGCGCAGUUUGGUAGCGCACCUGGCUUGGGACCAGGGGGUCGCAGGUUCGAAUCCUGCUGCGGUUCG